AGGAGUGGGGCGGCCGGGUAUAAUCGAAGGGUUUCAGACAUGAUGUUUUGAAGGUAAGGUAGCUUAGCAAUAUCUGGUUCAUCAAUCAACCUUUCUUGACCAAUUUGAGAAUCUAGUUCCGCCUUGGCUUUCUUCAACACAUUUGGGUGAUUUGAGUAAAUUUGACAUUGCCCAUUCUAAUGCGACUGCAGAUGUGUCAGUUCCCGCAAGAAGCAUAACCUGUCAUAGCAAUCUCAACAUGUUAAGUUCAAGAUGAGACAGUGUUCUUCUUGAUGCUAUUAAAUAAACAGAGAAAAUUUGACUUACAAAUACAAGCCCUUUGAUAAUUGCAUCAGUGUAGUACUCAGGCUCUAAUUCUUGUAAGGAAAGGAGAUGAUCGAUCAUUGUAUUUCCUCCUUUUCCAUUUCGAAGCUCAUCAAUUAACCCUUGCAGGAACCCGUCCAUCCUGUCAGCAAGCCUCAUCAAUUUUUUCUCAUAAUUACCAACCCAUUUCAAUAUUGGCAGAUAAUUUCCUGGAUUCCCUGCUCCACCAUUUUCAAGUACCUCUGCUACAAGGUCCCUAAAGUCCUUUGCCUCACUGUCAUCAGUCACAUCUUCACCAUAAUAUCUCUUCCCCGCAAUCAUUCUCAUGAGAUUAUUAAAUGUCAAGUCUGCAAACAUUGAUUUAAGCUCUACCUUGGCAAAAGCUUCAUGGGAAUUACGAGAUAGUUUCAACAAUAAUCUUUUCACUUCAUCUUUUCUAACACCGUGAAACAUUUUAAGGCGAUUUGAUGAGAAGAUCUCAAUGGUACUAAUACGACGGAGGUUACGCCAGUGGUCCCCGUACGGUGCGCUUAUAACAGUGGUAUGGUUGUAGCCUAGGUACUUACUCACAAGCAAGUUUGGGCGGUUCGCCAGCACGAUGUCAUUUCU
rnacentral:lncRNA from 1 species